rnacentral:rRNA from 2 species
GCCCAAUUGAUUGAUGGUGCUUGCACCUGAUUGAUUUUGGUCGCCAACGAGUGGCGGACGGGUGAGUAACACGUAGGUAACCUGCCCAGAAGCGGGGGACAACAUUUGGAAACAGAUGCUAAUACCGCAUAACAGCGUUGUUCGCAUGAACAACGCUUAAAAGAUGGCUUCUCGCUAUCACUUCUGGAUGGACCUGCGGUGCAUUAGCUUGUUGGUGGGGUAACGGCCUACCAAGGCGAUGAUGCAUAGCCGAGUUGAGAGACUGAUCGGCCACAAUGGGACUGAGACACGGCCCAUACUCCUACGGGAGGCAGCAGUAGGGAAUCUUCCACAAUGGGCGCAAGCCUGAUGGAGCAACACCGCGUGAGUGAAGAAGGGUUUCGGCUCGUAAAGCUCUGUUGUUAAAGAAGAACACGUAUGAGAGUAACUGUUCAUACGUUGACGGUAUUUAACCAGAAAGUCACGGCUAACUACGUGCCAGCAGCCGCGGUAAUACGUAGGUGGCAAGCGUUAUCCGGAUUUAUUGGGCGUAAAGAGAGUGCAGGCGGUUUUCUAAGUCUGAUGUGAAAGCCUUCGGCUUAACCGGAGAAGUGCAUCGGAAACUGGAUAACUUGAGUGCAGAAGAGGGUAGUGGAACUCCAUGUGUAGCGGUGGAAUGCGUAGAUAUAUGGAAGAACACCAGUGGCGAAGGCGGCUACCUGGUCUGCAACUGACGCUGAGACUCGAAAGCAUGGGUAGCGAACAGGAUUAGAUACCCUGGUAGUCCAUGCCGUAAACGAUGAGUGCUAGGUGUUGGAGGGUUUCCGCCCUUCAGUGCCGGAGCUAACGCAUUAAGCACUCCGCCUGGGGAGUACGACCGCAAGGUUGAAACUCAAAGGAAUUGACGGGGGCCCGCACAAGCGGUGGAGCAUGUGGUUUAAUUCGAAGCUACGCGAAGAACCUUACCAGGUCUUGACAUCUUGCGCCAACCCUAGAGAUAGGGCGUUUCCUUCGGGAACGCAAUGACAGGUGGUGCAUGGUCGUCGUCAGCUCGUGUCGUGAGAUGUUGGGUUAAGUCCCGCAACGAGCGCAACCCUUGUUACUAGUUGCCAGCAUUAAGUUGGGCACUCUAGUGAGACUGCCGGUGACAAACCGGAGGAAGGUGGGGACGACGUCAGAUCAUCAUGCCCCUUAUGACCUGGGCUACACACGUGCUACAAUGGACGGUACAACGAGUCGCGAACUCGCGAGGGCAAGCAAAUCUCUUAAAACCGUUCUCAGUUCGGACUGCAGGCUGCAACUCGCCUGCACGAAGUCGGAAUCGCUAGUAAUCGCGGAUCAGCAUGCCGCGGUGAAUACGUUCCCGGGCCUUGUACACACCGCCCGUCACACCAUGAGAGUUUGUAACACCCAAAGUCGGUGGGGUAACCUUUUAGGAGCCAGCCGCCUAAGGUGG